UUUCAUUUGCAAACGUUUCGGGAUCCAUCUAAUAAGGUUCCCUAGUAGCAUUCCUUUUAAAAUAUUACUCUAUCUAGCUUGUUACUCAUAUCAAGCAUGCAAUGACUAGUGCAUUUUCAAAUGUUGCAGAUAUGUGGAGAACCUUGUGGUUGAACACAUUAGCGAGACCAACGAGGCCUACCUCCCAACCGCCGCCAUGAUCACCUUUGAAGAAAACUGGAAACAACUCUCAACCAGAAUCCAAGAAUCAGUUGGCGGUGUAAUUUACCCUGCAUUUGAGUUACCUGUUGCGUCAAACAAAACUGUGACGUUAACCUCAAUCGCCCCAACUUUGGGCCGAAAUAUUGCUGUCGUUCUUUAUGUAUGCGACUCUUGCACUAACAUCCCAGAGCCCACUGUCAAUAUUAUUGGCCGCAACGGGCUUUGUGUCGACGUGUCAUUUGGAUUGUACUACGAUGGAUCACCAAUCAUCAUGUGGCCAUGUAAGUCUACCGAAAAGAGCAAUCAACUAUGGACUCUGAUGAAAGACGGGACAAUUCGAUCCGAAGGAAAGUGCUUGACUGCAUACGAUCUUGACGUUGCGGUGAUCUAUAACUGCACCACUAAGCCCAAGGCUUCUGGUAACAAGUGGAGAAUUGAGGAAAACGGGAAUAUCAUAAACGAAGAGUCCAAGUUAGCUUUAGACGCAUUGUUUGGUGUUAGCUGGAGUAUAUUGAGUAUGGAGCAGGCCUCAUACUCAUCAAGCCAAGCUUGGAGUCUAAGUAACAGCACAGAACCAGUAGUGACACCUAUCAGAGGCUACGGGGGUAUGUGUCUGAAAGCAUCUGCGAAUAAUACUGUCCAAGUCAGCAGCUGCACUGACCAAAGUGUCCAGCAAUGGGCCCUCUAUCCUGAUGGCACUGUCCGGCCAAGUAAGUCGACUACAAACUGUCUCAAAUCAAAAUCCUUAUUGGGUGGUGUAGUUGCGGUUCAUGAUUCCUGCGACGGAGGUAAGGCUGAACGAUGGGUAUUCAAUCAUGACGGCAGUAUUUCUGAUGCGGCCUAUAAAUAUGUUCUGGAAGUGAACAAUCAGAAACUACAUGUUGUGAAACGUUCUGCAGAUUCACCUACCAUGGAACAGAUUUUCGAUAUAAACUUUGUGUGAGUGAAUUACAAUUUCUCGCUGAGAAUCAAGACCAGUGUUAUUAUGAGCUUUGGUAUCCACUUACGGAUAUCCAAAAUAAUUAAUUAAGUGAUAGUACUAUAUCACAUGUAAAAGUAAAUAAGGUCUUGAAUGUCAUUGUUCUUAUUUUGUUUUUAACUACGUUGCUUCGUUUACAGGACAUCUGCAUGUUAGCUGUUGCAUCUGCAUGUAAUUAGCUGUUCUAAUAUACUACUAUUCAAGAAGAUAUGAUAUCACUUGGCAAAAUAAUAAAAAAGGAAAAAAAGAAAGAAAGAAGAAGAAGUAUAUAUAAACUUUCAAUUAAUGAAUUCAAGUGGCUAAGUACAAAGACUAUACUAAAAAACAUUGACAUUAUAGUUCUGUAUAGGAUCCUAAUAUGUGACUGAACAUGAAAAAUAUAGCAAUUUCAGAGCUAUAGAGAUAAUAAAAUCAAGGACGUUGAAAUGACCAUAAUUUUUUAAUUUCUUUUUGCUAAAUGAAAUGGCCAUAAAUUUCUAAUCUAAGGAGGGGUUGUUUGUGGACAAUUGGACAUCACAGUUUUGUAAACUCCUGUUAUGUAAGAAACGCUAUAUGCCCUAAUCUUUCUUAAAUAUUUCAUACUUGGAGCCUGGAGGAGUGCAAGAAAAAGCCAAAGGCACGUCUCAAUGAGGACGCUGCCGCGUUGGGUCAAAAUACUGGAGAUAUUCUUCGCUUUAACCCCCAGCAUGGGCCUGUUUGGUCAAGGCUUUUCCUGCCCGCCUCUGAUUUAUAAGUCGUUAUAAGCCAACUCCUGACUUAUAAGGCAGAUCGAUAACAUGGUAUGGCCAAAGGCGUGACACUAUCUUUCAGUACAAUAUCGCUAUGAAAACUAGUGAUGCAGUCUGGUUCAGUUUUGCCAUACUGGCUUAGUGGCUUGGAUCCUGCGAUCGUAUUAUAAGGAUAUAAACAUAGGACACAUCAUCAAAAUAUUAGAUACUAUCACUACGUAUAAAUGAUGAUACAAAAAAUUAUCAUAAUGCUAGUAAUCAAAUCCAAACCUAAGCUGGUGGCUAAAACCAAACCUAACAUUAGUGACUAAAAGAAUAAAAAAAUUAGAUGGGUGGUAAGUUUCUAAAAACACUAUAAGUUGAGUGGCAAAAAAAUAUAUUUUUCCUAGUAUGUUUACUUCUGCCCAGAGCAAAGAUUUCACAGAUAGCUUCGUUAUAAACCGAAACGAAAUAUAUUUCAAUUACGGAGUCUGGAAUAAAUCUAAUAUUAUGACGAUGUUGUUGACUUCUUGUGGAACGCUCUACAAGUAGAGCUGAACAAAAGGACCGGCCCACUAGGCCCGGGACCGGUUCUUCAAAAGCCCGGAUUUUUUUUCAAAAGCCCGGACCGGGCUUUUCAAAAACCGGGCCGGGCCGGGCCAGAUUUAUUAUGAAAAAAUGAGGCCUACUUCGGCCUACCAGGCCGGGUCAGAUUUAACCGGGCUUUUAUCCGGGAUUUUUUUAGUUAUGAUUUUAAAUAAUUAUAUGACCUUUUUUUAUUGAGUUUUUCCAUAUCAUUCUAUUUAACUGAAAUUUGAGUUGUAUAAAUGAAUUGACGUGAUAUAUAUGUAUACAUAUCUUGAAUUGAUUGAAAUUAAUUUAAAUUUUGUAUAUAAAUUUGUGUCAGUACGUGUAGCAUUAAUUAAUCUAGUUGAUGUGGGGAUAUGUUUAAUAUUUAUACAUGGACUUGGAUGUGUAAAAAACUCCGAUUGAUAGGUUAAUCAGGCUUUUCGGGCUUUUAUCCAGGCUUUAGACCGGUCUUUUAUCAGGCCCGGUCUUUAUCCAGGCCAGAUUUUUUGCCGGGCCAGGCCGGGCCAGAUUUUUGACAAAAAAUCAAGGACUUGUAAGGCCUUGCACGCCAGAUAAAGACUGGGCCGGGCUUUUAGUAGACGGGCUUUAUCCGGUCUUUUUACCGGGCCAGACCAGACGGUCUUUUUAGGCCCGGUCUUUUUGUUCAGCUCUAUCUACAAGUAUUAACAUGGAUCGAUCAGAACAAAAAGUCUGGAAAUUUAUUUCAGUGCAGAAAACAAACAUGCAUGCCAAUAUUGCUAAAUGCCGUUCUAGGGCUAUAUCUCUAAAGGAGCCACGACACUUUCUUGGAGUUUGAUUAAUUGGGUCAUAACUGGGUGAGCUUAAGAUGACAUCUACAUCCAUUGAUGCAGAAUGCUUGUUUCUUCUUUCAUUCCACAGCACACAUAUAAACUAGACUUCACUUCACAAAUAAAUUUAUAUUUCUGAUCCACUUAUUCUUCAAAAUGUCAGCAUUAGUGUGCCUUUCAUCGUACUCUUUCACCUCUAGUGUUGGUCUGAAUUGCAUUCUUUACUGACUAAAAUUUUUGUUAAAUUUUAAUGUUUUUUUGGCAUGCGUCUGAUUUUAAUAUUUGAUUACGUAUGCUAUUGGUUCUGCAGGAAAUCUGAGCAAACCAAUACAGUAAUACCAAAACUCAACCGGGGGGGGGGGGGGCACAAGGCAUCUCCAAUGCAAAUUUUUUUAACAUUAGAAUAUUAUUAUUUUUAUUAUUUGAUGAUUUUUUUAAUGUUAUUAAAGAUAGAUUAAUUAAGACUAGAAUAUAAUUAAAACAACGAUUAAUUAUAAAUUAAAAUUUCAACAAUUUGUCAAUCCCUACAGAAAAAUCAAAAAUAAAUAUUGCCCAUCUUGAAUUUCGAAAUACACUUAUUGAGCAUUUGUGGGAAAAAUAUACUAAUUCUGAGAAUGUUAUUUUUAAUAUAAUAUUUUAAUGCUUUUAAUUUAUUUUUAUGUGCCGUUUUAACUUUUUCGAAUUAUUUUGUAAUAUUUUAUCUUUGUCUAGUCGUUAAUUGUAUUAUUAUAAUUAAUGAUGAAAUUAGUUAAUAUUUUUUAAAAUAUUUAAAAUCAAAAUAUAUGAAUAUUAUAAAGAUGAGUGAAUUUAGAUCUUUGGAUCACAUGGUUGGAAUAGGAUUUGGAUCUCGUCCUAAAUCUGAAUCAUUUGGUAAUCCAAAUUUAGAUUUAUGGUUGGAGUUGGCCUAAGCAAUAAGUUAAAAUGGAAAGAUAAAAUAAGAAGGUAAAAUGAAUCACGGACACAAUUAUUUUUCCAUCAUCACUGCAAUCACGUGUUUUAAUUGUGCUGCAGAUUUUCUUUAAAAAAAAAAAUUGUGCUGCAGAUCAUUCGAGGAGGAGACCCUGUACCUAGACAGUCAUUGUCAAGGAAGGCGUGGAAAAUAACCAAAACUUAAGCAGAGGUAUAGUAGCCACGAGUAUUCUAGACUUUGAAUUAUUCUUACAUAUUUCUAUAUUCAAAAUAAAAUAAAUAUUAAAAUAUAUUUUAUAAAAUUCUUAAAAUCCUUUGCAGCGAUUAAUAAUAUUUAUUUGUUAUUUUAUAAAAUAUGUUUUAAUAUUUAUUUUAUUUUUCAUUAAAACAGAUUAUUAUUUUUCGUUAAACCUGCUUUUAAUUAAACCUCAUGCAGAUUUUUCCCAAACUACCCCUCCCUUCCGUUAAACUUAACAGUGGUUUGGAUGAAAAGUGUUAGGUGGGUGCAAAGUGUUACAGAUUAAAAACUUAUGAGUGCAACCUGCAAAGUGCAACCAAAUCGCAAAAUGACCCAAAGAUAGUGGUGCAAAGUGUGAUUUACUCUUAAUCUUAUAUAAAUACAUAAUAUUGUGCAACAGUAAAUAAUUACAUAAUAUUAAUAUUAAUUUUUUGUUUUCUAUUUAUCAUUUUAGUAUUUAACAUUCUAAUAAAGUGGACAUGACUUAUUUAUGUUAUGAAACGGUAAAAAAUUACAUAAUAUGAAUAUUAAAAUUUUGUUUUCCGUGUUAUUAUUCUGAUUAAUUAUAUAUCGUUACAAAAUAUUAUAUACGACUUUUAGUCGGCUAUCACGAGACACCAUUAUGAGGUACUAGGGGUUCAAAAACUUCAAAUAAAUCUACAGACAGAAAGAGAAGCUUGGAGAAGGGGUCCAGGAAUUAGUAAGCAUGUUGUGUUUACUUGUUUUGUUUGUGAUUUUCGAUGUUGUUUAUAGUUACUAGUUAGUAAUAUUUAUAGGGCAUGAAGUUUGAGAACUGAGUUUAAGAAAACAUACGGGUUUAUUAAAUUUAUUUUUUAAAUCGCAUUAUCAAUUAAGGAGACUCCUAAUACAAUUUUAAUUAUAAUAAAAAAUUUAUUAAAAAAAUGUAAUAAAUGUGCUCAUUUAUAAUAUCUGUUAUAUAUAUAUAUAAUUUUGUUUUGAAGAUAGAAUUUGUUUUAGAAUAAUAUGAGUUUUUUAAUUAAAAUAAAAUUUAUAAUUGAUUAAUAAAUAUAUUUGAAUAUAUAUAUAUAUGAAUUCAACAUCUAACAUUAAACUUCUUCUUGCAUAUUUUGGCCUUCCUCCUCGGAAGCAGGUAUCAAUCCAUAUUCGAAAUUAUUACAAUUUUAAAUAGUCUGAAAUUCGGCCCUAAAAAUGAUGAGAAAAAUACCAAGAUACACAUACUAACCAUCAUUUUGAGGCCCACAAAUGCACACAACCUGACCGGAUGUCUAGUCCGCAAACUCUAUUCGAGAGCAUCCUUAUAUGCUGGUAUAUGCUGAUCUUGCAAAAGUCUACGACCUUGUUGGUAUGCAUUUUUAAUUUGUCCACCCGAACCACCAACCCGAUACCCCAUGAGAUUUGUAAUGAAAAAAAUUGUGAGUAGGAUAUCGUAUAAUCAUACAUGUGCAACAGUCAUCGUCUCAAUACAAACCCCAUUCACCGGAUGUGAAUGGUGGCCUUUUAAGAUCAGCUGAUUACAAUACUUAUAUAUAUCUCCUAUCACCUCAAACUGAUGUCCAUGUUUAACUGCUUUUCUGGAUACAAUUCCAGACUCCACAGGAUGAUUAUUUUUUGAAAAAGUAUAUACCUGGUUAGGAUCAUCUCCUGCUUGCCGACGAACGUGAAACGCUCAAGGUAGUAUUAGCGAGGGAUCGGGUUGUGGGUCGAAUAAAACAAUUUCCCCCAUUCUUGUUAAAACAAACACAAAUAAUAUACAUUAACAAAUCAACUAUCGUAACCUAAUUUUCAUCAAUGGAACAUAACCAAACCAAACAUAAAACAUAUAUAAAUCGAUCAUUAUCACAACAAAUUCAUCUUAUUCAUAUCAUAACGAACAUAAAUUACAACAUUACAAAGUAAGAAUCCUUCAAAAUCAUUAUAUAAAAUCAAAAUCAGUAACAAGCUAAAUUUCACGAUUAAAUAAUCAAAAUAACUAAUUAGAUCGGAGAAUUAUAGUUACAGACCUACUGAAGUCUGCGAUCAAUAAAGCUUUUCAAUUGAUAAAAUAUUAAUAAAUUUCAGUCAAAAUUUGAUCAAUUUGACCAAGACAGAAGGAGCAAUACAUUAGCCUAUUCGGUUUUCAUAUUAUUGUGGAGGCCAUAACAAUUAACAGCUGUGCGCAGCGAGGGAGAACUAAUAUUGUGUGAAUUAUAGAACCAACAACGUCUCCAGCUAUAUAUAGACUCAAUUAUUUAGAUCGAUGGAUAUAUAUAGCAUAAAUAACCUGACAGAUAACCUCGGGCUCUUUUGCAACCACGAAAAUUGUCCUGGACUAAAUCCAAAACGCGCGCAUGUGCUCUUGAAAAUGUGACAGCGUAGGCAAGGCGAGGAGCCCGAACUUAUUUUGGAUAACUUUUUUGCUGUAUCAUCUACGAUCUGAGACAUGACACGCCUCUGUACUUCGUGUUAAUUUUACAUGAAGUUACAAGAUGCUUAUUGAUUUUUCGUGAUUUGAUUCGUUAUCAUUGAUAAAAAGGUUAUAAAUAAUCAAAAAUAAAAACUGAUUUGCGGAAAAAGCAUUGUAGAUGGGAUAGAGGAAAGAAGUAAACAAAGUAUAAUUUUGAACAUUUUUAUAGACUUUUCUUUAUUUUGGGCUCGACCUCCAAGAGCUUGGUUGAAAUUGAGAAAACUUACGAUAUAUACAGGGCCGUUUGUGUGAAUUUAAAAUAAGUACUUCUUGCUUAAAAUAAAUAAGUGGAGUAGAAGUUAGAAGCAGGUUAAGAUUUAUAAGUGAUUAAAAUGUUUGGUAAAUAAGUAGAAACCAUGAAACAAAAGCAUUCCUAGCUUUUUAUAAGUUUUUUUGACUUUUUACACAAAUGUUACGAAAUAAGUGCUUCUAACUUAUAUACCAAAAAGCUGGCUUUUAAGCUGUUGUCAAACACCCAGAUAAUGUGUGAUAGUGGCUCAGAAUAAUAAAAAUAUCCUAAAACAUUUUUUUACGGUUAUUUACUAUUUAAUUUUUGAUGGUGGUUUUGAAUCUUAGAGCAUUUGAUCAAUCGAGAAAUGAACAGAGUGCAUCUCAGAUUGAUGUCAUGUUUCAAUAUUAAUUUUUCUCGUCCUCGGCGGCUUCAACUAUAUCAUAUGUGGAUGGAAUCAACUUAAAUUUAUAUUUAUAAAAAAUAUUAGACCAGAUUAAGUACUUUUAGGUGUAGUUCAAUUAAUAUCAUAAAUUAAAUCCUAGAAUAUCACUCGUUAAUCUACAUUAUUUUUAAUAAACUGUUACUGUCUAUUUAAUAUUUGUAGAAUUAUUUGAAAAACAUUCCCGAAAACCAUAUUAUCAACCCAUCAAAAAUUCACUUGCAGUGUAAUAUUAUGAUAACUACAGUAUUACACUUCUACUACUUACUUUCAGUUUCACGAGAUAAUCUUUUUGAAAUCGCACUCAAUUAAACAACCGGUAAAAGUUUUAAGCUGUGAUUUCCCAAAUCUGUAAAUUGUCUCAGGUUCCAUCCAUCUUAUAAGAAGUCGAUAUCUAGUGUAUUCUCAUUGUGUAAGCACUGCUCUUCUCAUACAAACACCUCGUUACUUGUAUGAUUAACGUCAAUACUGAUUUUUCUCUUGCUUCCUUAUACUAUUGUUGACGUAAAACUAUAAUUCAUACAUAUAUAAUUGUCAUCUGUACGUGCAUGUGUGCAGGUAAAUGGCGAUUUCGAUUAUCGUAUCAAGGCUAUUGUUUUCGGCAGUUACGGCGGCAUGUCUCGCAAGUAGCAUUUGCAGUGCUCGAGAUAAGGUGCUGCUCAUGCCACCAGAAAAAAUAGAAGAAAAGUUCACAUUUUACCCGAUACUCCCAUUCGAUACGGCUCAGGCCACACUAAAAAGGUACACGAGAUUCAUUAACAAUGUGCGAGAGGAAAUUGUAAGCGGAGACACGGUCCAUGGCAUACCCAGACUCUACAAUCCCGUCAAAUUGGAAGAAUCUGAUCGGUAUCUUCAGGUGGCGCUCUUUAAUUCUGAUGAGCAGCGCAUCAGUCUGGCAAUAGAUAAAUCUGAUGUUUAUAUUGUCGGUUACCGAACUGAAUAUGAGGCUUGCUUCUUUUCGGAUACUGAUGGCGCAGACACAUCGAGCCUGUUUCCAGGCAUUACGCGUCACCAGCUUCCAUUCAAAAAUGGAUACUCGGGUAUGGAGGAAAUAGCAGGGUCCAGGAGGGAUAUUAGUUUGGGGAUGUCUGAAUUGGAUGAAUGCAUCAAGCAUUUGCACGAUCUUACGGAUAACUCCUCUUUGGCUCGGUGCAUGCUAAUUACCAUUCAAAUGGUUGCAGAGGCUGUCCGCUACAGGUACUGAUGGUACUGAUCAUAUUGAUCAAUAAAUUUCAGAUGUAUAGACACUCACGGUUGUUUUUCUGCCAUUACUUUGCUGACGCUCCAAUUGGAAUUUUUUUUGAAUAUAAAACCGUGUCGUUUAUUAGUUUGAGGUUGCAGAUUAUUUAUUAUUUGGACGUGUUGGUUGAAUCAUUAUUUUUGCAAAAUAGAAAAUUAGAAUCCAAAUUUUUGCCAAAGAAAAGAAAAUUAAGGUAUUAUUGAAAACGCACAAAAAAAAAAGAAUAAUCAUAUACCUAAUCUUGGGGAAGAGGAACUCUGUUUCCAAAGAAGUCACAGUUGACAUGAACGCGUCUAAUUUUAUAAUGAGUGCAAUUUUAAAUGUUGCAGAUAUGUAGAGAACCUCGUGGUUGAACACAUUGGCGAGACCAACGAGGGUUACCUACCAACUCCCACCAUGAUCACCUUGGAAGAAAACUGGAAAGAACUGUCCAGCAAAAUUCAAGAAUCAGUUGGCGGUGUAAUUUACCCUCCAUUGGUGUUAUCGGAUGCUUCAAACCAGGAAGUCACCAUAACCUCAAUCACUCCAACUUUAGGCCGAAAUAUUGCCGUCAUUCUUUUCGUAUGCGAUUCUUGUACCAGCAUCCCGGAGCCAACUGUGCAUAUUAUUGGCCGCAACGGUCUAUGCGCUGAUGUGCCAUUUGGAUUUUACUACGAUGGAUUACCGGUUAUCAUGAGGCCAUGUAAGUCUACCGAUAAUGCCAAUCAACUAUGGACUCUGAUGAAAGAUGCCACAAUUCGAUCCCAAGGAAAGUGCUUAACCGUAUCCGGUCUAGGAAAUUAUGCAACGAUCUAUGAUUGCAUCACCAAGUCCGAGGAUUAUGGUAACAAGUGGGAGAUAGAGGACAACGGGAAUAUCAUAAAUAAAGAGUCUAAUUUAGCUUUGAAUGCAGGCUCAGGGUACAGCUGGAGUUAUUUGAAUGUUGAACAAAAAUCAUACUCAUCAAGCCAAGGUUGGAGUUUAGGUAACAGCACAAAACCAAUAGUGACUCCUGUUAUAGGCUACAAGGGUAUGUGUAUGCAAGCAUCACGCUAUAAUGGUGUUCAAUUGAGCCGCUGCAGAGACAAAAGUGUUCAUCAACAAUGGGCCAUUUAUCCUGAUGGUACCGUGAGGCCAAGUCUGUCGACGACAAACUGCCUCGUAUCAAAAUCAUUUCCGAAUGGUAAAAUUGCGGUUCAAGAUGUGUGCGACGGAGGGAAUGCUGAACGAUGGCUAUUCAAUUAUGAUCGCAGUGUUUCUGAUGUGUCCAAUAAAUAUGUACUGGAAGUGAGAAAAGAUCAGAGGAUAGCAGUUGUGGAACGCUCUGCAGAUACACCUACCACUAGACAGAUCUUCGACAUAAAGUUUGUGUGAGCUGAUCGAACUACAAGUUCUCGUUGAGAAACGAAACACCACCUACGGAUGCAUAUAAUGAAUAAAUGAUAGUAAUUCUCACGUAAUAUUGUAAUACUAUAUUAUCGUCUUGUAAUAAAGCUCUUUAUCGUUAUCGUUUUCGUUCUCGUGCAUUGCGGUUAUUUAAGGAUGACCUAAUAGUUCGAAUUAAAUUAAGGAAAUAUACCUCUAGAAAUCUGGACUUAAGUAGCUAGGUACCUUCUCUCAGUAAAUUAUUUAUGCAAUACCAUAAAGAUAUAAUAAAAUGAUAAGGCAAAAUGAACUUAAGUAGCUGGAUAGGUACCUUCUCUCAGUUCGUUUUUGCUUACAAUGUUUUGUAGAUACUCAGAACUACUUUUGCAGAAACAUUGAUCGCUCUGCUGCUUGUUAUGAAUGUAGAAAAAAGUCGAGAAAAGCUCUCCUUGAAUUAAUUACUACUUUAUAAGAUAUAAAUUUUAUGUGCUCUGUGAUGAGUGAGAUACUGAGAUGAUGAACAGGGACCAGAGAUAUAUGCCAUUAGGGUUCGGGUCCUCUUUAUUUCCUAAGCGCAAAUCUAGUACAUUUUUACGAUUAAUGACAUAUAUAUCUCCCAUAAAUCAAAAUUAAGCCGAUUAGGAAUAUCCGAUAACCUCUCUAUCCAAGUUUGAGGUGGAAAUUAUAAUAUUAUAUGAAAGUGAAAUGAAUUUAAUGAAAAAUUGCACAAAAUUAUGAAAAUACUCUAUCAAAACUAUAAGGAAAAAGGAUAAAAUAACCAAUUUUACCGUAAUUAUAAUCAACACAAUGGAUGGUUAUUUCGAUCAUGAAAAUCGUUUUUUAAUCGAACUCUUGAAAUUAUUUGUAGGGUUAGUUUAAAUACGAACAAAAAAGUUUAGUACUUUUUAUUUUAUGUAAACUUUGUACCAGGGCUAGCUGUCGGCCACAGAAAUUUGAAAUUUAUUGAUCUUUAGAGUGUCUGUCAGAAAUUAUCUAAGAAAUAUAGCGAUAUUUCUGGUAAGUGGAUAUGACAACUGAGACAACUCGUGCCUUUCAUAAUUACUCACUCCAUCCCAGGCAUUUAUAUACAAAUAGUUGGGACUCGAAUACCAAAAAAUUAUGUAAGAAAUGAGUAAAAUUAGAUGAAAAGUUGGUAUAGUAGUGUGAUCAAUUUAUAUUUAAUAAUAGAUUUGAAAUAUUGGAAGAAAGUAGUGGAUAUAAUAAUGUUUAUAUUAUUAUAGAAUGGAGAUAGUGGAAAAAAGUAGUUGGUGUAAUGAUGUUGUAUAUUAUAAAAGUUUACUAUUUUUGAAAUAUAUACAAUUCAUUGAGACGGACGGAGAAGUAUUAAGCUUUCAUAGUAAAAACUUGAUAUAUUGCUGAUAAAAAUUGAUCUAAUUGACCUGACGGGGACCACUACAAGAAAAACCGGUUAUUUUUGACCGGUUAUUUUUUACCGCCUUAUUUUUGACCGAACGCGAUCAAAUAUAAGGUCAAACUCGCAUGCCACCAAGUCAAGGCUAAAAUUGACCGAUUAAUUUUAUACACACACCGGAGAUCGGUUACUUAAAUUGAAUUUAUAAAUUAUUAUGUAAAAAUUGUUGAAUAUAUAAAAUUUGAGUUUUAAUGUUAUUAACUAUAUGAAUUGAUCUGUCAAAAAAAAACUAUAUGAGAUUAUAUGUUAAAUAUUUUCCUCAAAUGAGGUACGUGACAGAUAUAUAACUAAUUUUAUUGGAUGGUUCAUUUGUAUAGAGGGAUCUCACUAUUAUUGAUGUAAGUGGAACCAAAUUUUGCCACAUAGAUUUAGGAAAAAAAUUGAUAACAAUUUUUGGGUACCUAAUAUUUUUCAUGUUAAAACUAAUGUUUUAUUAAUAUUUAAUUAUUAUAUGUAGAAUGUCUCACAAUAAUAUGAUAAUAAAUUAUGUGAAUUUUUUUUAUAAAUUUUUUAUAAUAAAUAUAGUCAACACCACGAGGUUGGCUAUAUUCAUAUACCAGGGGAUGUGCCAUUGGAGUUAUGUUUUUUUUUAUAUAAUUUCAAAAAAAUUAUAUAUAAUAUGUAUAAAUAAUUUGUAAUUGGAAAUGAGGCAUGGUUGAGAUGCUUUUACAAAUUAAAGGUAAAUUAUAAGAGCAUGCAACGCCAAAACUGGCUCCAAUAACUUUUUAUAUAACUAGUUAAGAAACCGCGCGUUGCGGCGGCUUAUAAAAAUUUUUAUAUUAAUGAUUCAAUAUUAAUAUUUGUAGAAUGCAGUAAUUUUGUGGCUGCCUAUAAAAAGUAUAUUAAUAAUUAAAAAUUAAUAUUUGUAGGAUGAAAUAGAUUUUAUAUUAUAAAAAUCUUGAUGUAAUACCAAUAUUAAUAUAUAAAAUUGCAAAAUUGGAUUAUAAUUCAUGUUAAAAAAAUGAAAAUAAAUUUCUACACUUAAUUAACAAUUUAAAGCACGAUGAAUCUUAAUUUUAUUUGUGUUUUUUUUAAGUAAUCAUGUUCUUACAUUGUCACCUUCCUCCAAUUUUUUUUAUUGAUUGUGCAUAAAAACAUCUAACUUAAAUCCGUGAGAUAGCGGUCUAUAUCUACCCUUGCUUGUAACAACCUUUAUCUUUUUAAUACUGUAUGCACAGUCUUCACUUAAAAAAGUUGCUUGAACGGAGCAAACAGAUAAUGCAUGAAUAAUUUUUUCCAGUGUACAAAGUAAAUCAUAUAAAAAUUAACAACAACAAACAUGUCCGAUGAACAAAACAAAUAUUAUAAAAGAAUAACCAACAAACAUGCAUCACAAAUAAUUAAUUUAUUGAUAUCAUCAUCAAUAUCAUGUCAAGACUAUAUUCUUCUCAUGUGUUUGGAUUUGUCGAAUCUCACAUAGCGGUCUAUAACUACCUUUGCUUGCAACAACUUUUAUUUUUUUAAUACCGUAUAAACAGCUUUCAUUUAUCGUUGCAGAAGAACGGCACCACCGAGUUAAAAAUUGAGCAAGAGAAUUAUCACCAGAAAGAGGUAGGGUUGUGGUAUUGAGAGAGAGUAGGUUGUGUUUAGAUGAUCCAAAAACCCUACAACUUAUAUGGGUAUUUAUAGGUACAGAGAGACUUGUGUGCUACUAUUUCCCAUAAUUAAAUAAUCUGAAAUAAAAUCAGAUUAAAACUUUCAAGCUGCUAUAUUCCAUAAAUAAUCUGAAACAAAAUCAGAUUCUGAAACUUGCUUCUAAUAUAUCCGAAACUAAAAAAGGUAGUUCUAAUUUUUGAUAUUUUUCAUUCGAAAAUUCCAGAAAAUUAAAAAAUUAGAAAAAUAGAACGGAAUGAUGUGAGAGGCGUUAGCUACACGCCCCUCGUUUCUCCUUUAUAUAGAAACAAAAUCAGAUUAAAACUUUCAGACUACUAUAUUUCAUAAAUAAUCUGAAACAAAAUCAGAUUCUGAAAUUUGCUUCUAAUAUAUCAGAAACUAAAAAAGGUAGUUCUAAUUUUUGAUUUUUUUCAUCCAAAAAUUCCAGAAAAUUAGAUUAAUAGAACGGAGCUGUCUGAGAGGCGCCACAUACACACCCCAUGCUUCUUCUUUAUAUAAGUAUAUUGAUAUUGAUAUUGAUUGAUGAUUUCUAAAUCUUUUAUUUAUAAUAUAUAUUUCUAAUCAAUAUACUUAUAUAAAGGAGAAGCGAGGGGCGUGUAGGUGGCGCCUCUCACAUCGCUCCGUUCUAUUUUUCUAAUUUUCUGGAAUUUUUGGAUGAAAAAUAUCAGAAAUUAUAACUACCUUUUUUAGUUUCGGAUAUAUUAGAAGCAAGUUUCAGAAUCUGAUUUUAUUUCAGAUUAUUUAUGAAAUACAGUAGUUUGAAAGUUUUAAUCAGAUUUUGUUUCUAUAUAAAGGAGAAGCGAUAGAAUUAUCUUUCCGUUCUAUUUUUCUAAUUUUCUGGAAUUUUUGGAUGAAAAAUAUCAGAAAUUAUAACUACCUUUUUUAGUUUCGGAUAUAUUAGAAGCAAGUUUCAGAAUCUGAUUUUGUUUCAGAUUAUUUAUGAAAUACAGUAGUUUGAAAGUUUUAAUCAGAUUUUGUUUCUAUAUAAAGGAGAAGCGAUAGAAUUAUCUUUUUUAGUUUUGGAUAUAUUAGAAGCAAGUUUCAGAAUCUGAUUUUGUUUCCAUAUAAAGGAGAAGCGAUAGAACUACCUUUUUUAGUUUCGGAUAUAUUAGAAGCAAAUUUCAGAAUCUGAUUUUGUUUCGGAUUAUUUUUGGAAUAUAGUAGUUUGAAAAUUUUAAUCUGAUUUCGUUUCUAUAUAAAAGAGAAGCGAGGGGCAUGUAGGUGGCGCUUAUCACAUCGCUCCGUUCUAUUUUUCUAAUUUUCUGAAAUUUUCGGAUGAAAAAUAUCAAAAAUUAGAACUACCUUUUUUAGUUUCAGAUAUAUUAGAAGCAAGUUUCAAAAUCUGAUUUUGUUUCAGAUUAUUUAUGGAAUAUAGCAGCUUGAAAGUUUUAAUCUGAUUUUGUUUCAGAUUAUUUAAUUAUGGGAAAGAGUAGCACACAAGUCUCUCUGCACCUAUAAAUACCCCUAUAGGUUGUAGGGUUUUGGAUCAUCUAAACACAACAUACUCUCCCUCAAUACCACAACCCUAACUCUAUCUCGUGAUAGUUCUCAAAUCCAAACACGGGAGAAAAAUAUAAUCUUGACAUGAUAUUGAUGGAUGAUAUCAAUAAAUUAACUAUUAGUGAUGUAUAUUUGUUGGUUAUUCUUUUAUAAUAUUUGUUUUGUUAAUCGGACAUGUUUGUUGUUGUUAAUUUUUAUAUGAUUUACUUUGUAUACAGGAAAAUAUUAUUCAUGCAUUAUUUGUUUGCUCCUUUCAAGAAAUUUUUAAAUGAAGGCUGUUUAUACAGUAUUAAAAAAUAAAAAUUGUUACACGCAAGGGUAGUUAUAGACCAUUAUCUCACGGAUUUAAGUUAGAUGUUUUUGUGCACAAUCAAUCCAAAAAACUUGGAGGAAGGUGACAAUGUAGGAAUAUGAUUACUUUUCAAAAAAAAAAAAAUACAAAUAAAAUUAAGAUUCGUCGUGUUUUAAAUUGUUAAUUACAUGUAGAAAUUUAUUUUCAUUUUUAUAUUGUUAAUUACAUGUAGAAAUUUAUUUUCAUUUUUAUUUCACCAUGAAUUAUAGUCCAAGUUUAUAUAUUAGUAUUGGUAUAACAUCAAGAUUCUUAUAAUAUAAAAUUUAUUUUAUCCUACAAAUAUUAAAUCAUUAAUAUACUUUUUAUAGACAGCCACAAAAUUAUUGUACUCAACAAAUAUUAAUAUUAAAUCAUUAAUAUAAUUUUUAUAGGCCGCCGCAACGCGCGGUUUCUGAACUAGUUAAUAACUAAGAGAGUCUUCAGUCUUAAAUAUGGUCUUAUAAAUAUGGUCUUUUAUUAUUUGUGAAUUACAGAACCAACACCGUUUGCUCCAAACCCUCAAUCAUUUGGAUAGACAUGUCACAUAGAUCUCCUAAGACCUUUUGCGACCGCAAGGGUCCACAACAAUUGCCCUGCAAUAAAUCCAAAACACAUGUGUUUUGUGCUAAGUAACCCAAAUGUGAAAGUGUGGUUGAGGAGCAGUCUGAAUUCAUGUUUAUUUAGUGACAAUUUUCUAAAAUAUUGGUUUAGCUGUCAUCCCCAAUCCUAGUCAUGAGAUGUAGAACUCUGGCUAGAUAUAUAAUUAGUUGAUUUUUAUUAAAACUCUUUCAGCGAUUUCCUAAGAAAGUUAGGAAUUUUCUCGUAAAUAUUCAAGUUCAAUUUUUUUUAUAUAAAAAUACUGUUUUUUUUCAAAUAUUUUGUAAAAAUAACAAAUCUUUGAAAAAAUACGCAACUAUACUUGCAAGAAAUCUGCGGGGUCAAUUAACCGAAGUUGUAUCUAGUUACAGAUUGUAUUUUUUUCAAAUAUUUUAUAAAAAAUUAGUAUUUUUGCACAUAUUUUCAAAAGAAUUUAACAUAUCAAAUUCAACAUCAAUCGUAUCUAUUUAGCAAAAAAAAAACAUCAAUCAUAUCUCAAUUUAAAUCCAAUAUUAAAGAAUUUUGUAUUAAUUUUAAUAAUUAUAUUACUUAUUGUGGUUGACUAAUAUUUUGACUCCAAUUAAAGUGUCUAAUUUCUAACAGAAUUUUUGUACUCCCUCCGUCCCCCUGAGUUGUAUACAUUGGGGGACGGGGACGCGGCACGGAUUUUAAUGCUCCUGUUUUACAUAGUUCUAUAACUUAUUUUUAAGAUUUUUCUUUUCUGAAUAAAAGUUUGAAUGUUAUAUUUUUAUUCAGAAAAAGAAAAUUUUAAAAAUAAGUUAUAGAACUAUAUUUUACAAGAGCAUUGAAGUGCGUGUCGAGCAGUGAAAAAGAAACGUAUAGAAUUAAAUGGGACAGAGGGAGUAAUUUUUUUUGCGACUUAUUGUAAUAUAAACUUUUACAUGAGAGUUAUUCGUUGUUGAUGCGCCGGGAUUACGCGUAAUGCCUGUAAAAAUCAUAUUUAUAUGUAUAUAAAUAUGAUUUUUAAUCUGUGUUUAGAAACAACGUUCAGAAAUAAUUUGCAUAGCUGAUUUAUAUCAACCAUACAUCUUUAACACACAUUUUCAAAGUUAAGCUAUCAUCAAAUUUGGCCGGAGUCGGAGACAGUGCUAAGGCCAUCGCAGUUGUGUGCAUUAAGGGAGAAUAUCUAUGUGAAAUAUAGAACCGAAAACGUUGCUCCAAGCUCUCAUUUAUUUAGAUAGAGAUAGCGUAUUCUGAUAGAAACCUACAAGCCUUUCUGCUACCACACAAGAACGAGGAGGAUGCCGUGACUCUGGUUUAGAGAGGAAAAACCUUAAUCUAUUUUUACCAGAGUAACUUUCAUAUAUCAAUUUUUAUGUUUUUAUAUUCUUUAAAUUUCACAUCAUUCUGGUAUUUAUUUUUCGAAAAUCAUUUCAAUAACUGAUAUACUAAAUAUUAACUCUUUUUUUUUUUUGAAACUUACUAAAUAUUAACUCUUGUUUAUAAUAUUUUAUUUAUUCUGCGGGUCACAAAAAAUAUUUUAUUCACGAUAGGAUAAAGUUGACAUACUUUUCUAGAAACGCCGAUUUUGACACCUAAACGAGCACUCUAUCAUAUUUUUUCAUAGUCCAUUAACUGCCUCACAACUUUAUAAAAAUGCGAACUAAGAUAUCGUAUAUUUCGUUUUGUCCAAUUCAUUUCUAUACAAUUUUUUUAAUAUCAUGUUCAAUUAUAUAUUUUUUAAAAAUUAAAAAAAUUCAUAAUAUAAAAUUAAACUCCAUUAUUUUGUUCCAACACUCGCUUUAUAUAUUAAAUAUUAGUUAACUCCAUCAUUAUUCAAAUUUUCUUAUUUUUGUCAUUGAAUUACACUUUCUUUUUUAAACUCGGUGCCAAAACCCAGAUAUGACUGAGGGAGAGGGAGUACAAGAGAGUGACACCCCUCCUAACGCUUCUUGUGAUGUUUUCUGUAUCUUUGUGGCAAAACAAAACACGCGAGCAUGGAGUAUGGACUCGGUCGAGAUAUUUUUAAACACAACCCAAACAGAAUGAACAUUAUGAGUUUUUUUUCCUAAAAUUCAGUAAUUAAUAAUAAUUAAUUACUGUCUCGAUUAAUUCAUGUUUUAUAAUUCGUCAAAUUGAUUAAAUCUCCAAUUAAUCCCCGAUCAAUCUGAUUAAUCAUCGAUCAAUUCAAUUAAUCUCUAAUUAAUUCUUGUUCCGUUCACGGAUUAAAUCCAAAUACCGUUUUAUACAAUAUUUUGUAUAAUAUCUAGUAUCUAUUUAUACGAUAAAAUAUAAAUAAAGGGAAGUAAUUUUUUUCCUAAUACAACUUUGUCGUAAUUAGGGGCCUUUCGGUCGCGCGCCGGGGGGUGUUGAAAAUAUUUAGUGAUCUUUAAGUAAUUGUCAGAAAAUAAUUGCGAAGUCAUUUAAGAAGUAUAAUAGCUUUACUAAAUGGCUAUGGCAUACAAGCUUUGUACUCGAGUUUCAUUAAUAAUACUAAACAGGAGUCGCCGAAGUAGGAAACGUAAUGAUUCUUUUUUUUAUUUCGGAAAUGAUAAUGAUUUAGUUUAUAAAAUAGUGUAGUAAGAAAAAAAAAAGAUCACAGUAAAACUUUAAAUUUUGAAUCUCAUGUCAAGUGUAAAAAUAAAAAAGUUAAUUUGAAAUAAUUUAGUCAUCAAAUUUCAUAUUUGACUUGAUGGAACGUAUUUGUACGUACAUAAAAGUUUUCAAACUAUAAUACUUAAAAAAUAUUUAAAAUUUAUAAAUAAAUGAGAGAGAUAGAAAGUAUAUGUUAUCAAAUUUCAAGUAAUUACUAAUUUUUGUUUCAAAAAAAAAAGUAAUUACUAAUUUUUGUGUGAAUUUUUUACUUGGCUAAAGAUAUGAAGUUUUGUAGUGUUCGCAAAAGAAGUUAUUCACCUUUAGCAUCUCAUUCUUCUAAUCUCAUAAACAUGUAUUUUUCUAAUCUCGUUCUUUUUAAUCAUGAACUUAAUUUAAAGCAUUUAUUUCACGUCUUCGAGGGUCGGUCACUCAUCCCUUUCUAGAGCUAAUUCAAUAAAAAAAUAAAAAACUUUUUUUAGAUAUAUUGACAUAUCAAAAAUAAAAAUAAAUAAUUUUACUUCAUAUCUUCGGGUCAUUCACUUGUUCUCCUGAUAAGAUAUUAAUUUAAAAUAAAAUUAUAAUUAUAAAGCAGAACACCUUGCAAAUGUACAGUAAUAAUUUUGGUUAACUAUCUAUUCGAGUAUAAUUUAGUUGAUACUCUUGGACAACCGGUUGCUAGUCGCUAGUGAUACACAGUACUAGGCCUGACAAUUUGACACUUGACACGCUAACACGAAACGAAACGACACGAAGAAAAUGGAUAUGGGUUUUGAUUUUCGAUACACAAAACACGAAAGUACACGAACACGAAAUUACACGAUAGAUUUCGUGUCGGAUAUGGGUUUUCAUUUGGGGUACACGAAAUACACGAAAGUACACGGAAUAUUUGUAGAUAAUAUUUAUUAUAUAUAUGUUAUGAUAUAUUAAAUAUAUAAUUGAGUAACAAGUAUAUAUUUAUAUGUAUGUGUGGAUAUAUAUAGUAGAUAUAUUAACAAAUUUAUGGAGAAUUGUAUAUAAGUAUAAAUAUAUCAUUCACAUUUAAUAAAUUUAUAAAGGAAAAUAUAUAUUAAAUUCAUUUUUUGAUUAAAGAAUAUAUUAAUAUUUUUAUAUAUAAUAUACACGAAAAGUACACGAAAUAUACACGAAACGAUUCGGAUCGGAUACGGGUUUCAAAUUAGGUACACGAAAUUAAUAACGGGCGGAUACGGGUUUUAUCUUCGAGUACACGAAACACGAAAAUACACGAAACGAAAGUAUACGAAACGAAACGAUUGCCACCCCUACACAGUACUGCUGCUGAGGACAUGUCCAUGUGCGCUUAGAAGGACAAUUAUAUGCGUAAAUUGUGAAUUCAAGAACCAACAUUGUUUGGUAGCGAAUGCAGACUACACAGUACUGAAGAUUGAUAUGACUUGUUGCAUAUAUGGACAGGACCGGCCCUUGGGUAAGGCGAACGCCUAGGGCAUCAUUAUCUCAGGGGCACCAAAAAACCUUUGCAUAUGUAGUAUACUCCCUCCGUCCUCCUGAGUUGUAUACAUUGGGGGACGGGGACGCGGCACGGACUUUAAUGCUCCUGUACGUAAAGUGUAGUUGUGUAAUUUAUUUUUAAAAUUUUCUUUUUCUGAAUUAAAAUUUGGAUGUUAUAUUUUUAUUCAGAAAAAGAAAAUCUCAAAAAUAAGUUACGGAACUAUAUUUCAUAAGAGCAUUGAAAUGCGUGUCGAGCAGUUGAAAAGAAACGUAUACAAUUAAAUGGGACAGAGGGAGUAUAAUGAUAAAUUUAUGCAUUUAUAUAUAUACAUGUAUUUCAAUCUAUUGUGUUGUUAGACUUAAAACAAUAUUUUUGAUUAUGUCAUUGUAUAUUGAUUUGGAUGUGUGUAAAUUUUUCUUUACGAUCUUGAAAAAUUCAUCUAGGGCACCCAAAUCCGUAGGGCCGGCCCUAUAUAUGAUCGAGUCAUGACUUGACUCGCAACGAAUACGAAUGUAUCAGGGCGUGAAUCACGAUUAGAUGGGGAAUACGAGUACGAAUAAAAGAACGGUGAUACAGAUACCAACUGGGAUUGGAUGACUUCGAAACGUCCGCUACUCUUUUCUUUUUUUUUUUAUUUUUUUUUUUUUGUGGCCGGAAAACGUCCGCUACUUUUUUUAAAAAAAAUAAUAGUAAUUCUGGAGCCUAUAACCUAUUGUAUCUCAUAGAUAUGUACUUAAAAUUUCACGCGGUUAUUUUAACAUUUAUAAUUUUUAUACUAUUUUAAAACUUAUUAAAUAAAAUUUUUGUAAUGUUUAAUAACUAAGUGACAUGAUCUAUCAAAUAUUGAUAAACUAUUGUAUGUAUUAUUAGUUUAUUUUCUUUCGUCUUUAUUUCAUUCUCAUAAUUUCUUUUCAAUAUACAUCCCAGUUCUUGACAAUUAAAAACUUUGUCAAUGUGCUUCAUCCAUAAUCAUCAUACUUAAUUAUUUUAACUGAUGUGAAGAGAAACAAUUAAUAAAAUCAAUCGUAAUUUACAUAUAUAUAGACAUACUUUAGCUAAAUAAAAAUUUAUCAAAUUAAAACAAUUUUGAUAGAAUCAUGAUGAGUCCAGUGUUCUAAAAAUUUCCGAUUUAAUCGAUUAAUCCCCUGCAAUGUUGCCGAUCGAUUUAAUUCAUGAAAUCUGAUAUAAUAAUUUAUUAAAACUAAGAUACUAUAUCAUUUUAAAUAUGAACACUUAUAGAAUUUAUUUAUGAUAUAGUAAAGAUAUAUUUAUUAAUAAAUAAUCAAUACAAUAAUAGCUAAAUAUUAAAUACAUCCAAUUUUCACUCCGAUUUCGAUUAAUCCUAAAUUGAUACCUCAACCGAUUAGAUCCGACUCACGAUUUCUGCAAUAUUGGGAUCAUGGUGUAACUUAAAUUAAAUAAUACUUCCUCCAUCUGAUGUUAUGUGUCUUGUUUUGAUUAUUGAAGAGUCAAAUUGACUAGAUUUUGACCGAAAAUUACACAUAUUAUCCGACUUCAAAAGAUUAAAAGAAUCAGCUUAAACCUCCUUCAAAAUCCACUUUUCAGAUUUUUAAAUUAAUUAAUAAUUUUUUUUAAAUAAUGAUCAAAAUUUGAUCAAAUUGACCAUCUAAUAAUAAAAAAAGACACAUAAUAUGAGACGGACUGAGUCCCUAACAUAUUCAUAUUCACGGGGGGUUGUUGGCCAAAAGCCUAAAACUAACCAACAUGCAAUUGUUGAUUUUAUGCACAGGAACAUCGGGUGGAUGAUUUAAUUAACUUAUUAAAACGUAAGUUAUAUCAUACAGCUUUUGUUGCUAUUCAAAUCUUUUUAUAUAUGUACUUCUCUAAUUAUGGCACUAAACGACAACUUACGCAUUUUGCCGUUGGUUUUGUACGUGUGGAGAUCAAUUUUUUUUUUUUUUUUUUCUUUUCUCCGUGUCAAGUAAACUGUAAAAUCAUUUCGGAAGGAAUAACUUGCAAGAAGGGUAAAAGUGUUGAGCAGUAAUUUUCCAUGCAAAAGACCUAUAAAUAGCCCUUGAGGUUCCAUCCAUCUUCACAACAACUCGAUAACUUCUGUAUUCUCAUUGUGUAAGUAGUAGCGUUUUUCUCAUUCAUAGAUCAUAUACAUUAGAUUAAGUUGAUGCAUUUUUUCACUACAUGAAGUCGAAUAAUUCUCUUAUUACUUCCAUUAUCCACUCUUGACGUAAAAUUAAGCAUCUCAUGUAUCUAAUUGUUAUUGUGCGUGCUUGUGUGCAGGAAAAUGGCGAUGUCGAAUAAUGUUUCAAGGCUAUUGUUCUUGGCAGUUGCGGUGGCAUGGCUCACAAGCAGCAUCUGCAGUGCUCGAGAUAAUGUGCUGCUCAUGGCACCAGAAAGGAUUGCAGAAAAGCUGACAUUUUACCCCUUGUAUCCAUCCAACACUCCUCAUGCCAUCAGAACAAGGUACGUGAGGUUUAUCAACUAUAUUCGAGACGAACUCGUGAGCGGAGAGAUGGUCUAUGACAUACCCAGGCUCCAAAAUCCAGCCAGUUUGCCAGAUUCCGAUCGAUUUCUUCAUGUGGCGCUCUCUAAUUCCAACGAGGAUCUCAUCAUUCUGGCGAUAGAUAAGGCUACUGUUGAUAUUGUCGGUUAUCGAACUAAAAAUAAGGCCUGCUUCUUUACGGAUACUAAUGGCCCGGAUACAUCCAGCGUCUUUCCUGGCAUUACCCGUUACGAGCUUCCGUUCAGCAGUAGAUACUCGGGUAUGGAGGAAAUUGCAGGGUCCAGGAGCAAAAUUUAUCUGGGGAUGUCUGAAUUGGAUGAAUGCAUCAAGCAUUUACACGAUCUUACGGAUAACUCCUCUUUGGCUCGGUGCAUGCUAGUCACCAUUCAGAUGGUUUCCGAGGCCAUUCGCUACAGGUACUAAUUUUAUUUACUUAUAUCAAGCUUUUCAUUUGCAAACGUUUCGGGAUCCAUCUAAUAAGGUUCCCUAGUAGCAUUCCUUUUAAAAUAUUACUCUAUCUAGCUUGUUACUCAUAUCAAGCAUGCAAUGACUAGUGCAUUUUCAAAUGUUGCAGAUAUGUGGAGAACCUUGUGGUUGAACACAUUAGCGAGACCAACGAGGCCUACCUCCCAACCGCCGCCAUGAUCACCUUUGAAGAAAACUGGAAACAACUCUCAACCAGAAUCCAAGAAUCAGUUGGCGGUGUAAUUUACCCUGCAUUUGAGUUACCUGUUGCGUCAAACAAAAC
rnacentral:lncRNA from 1 species